rnacentral:rRNA from 1 species
GAUGAACGCUGGCGGCGUGCCUAAUACAUGCAAGUCGAGCGAACAGACGAGGAGCUUGCUCCUCUGACGUUAGCGGCGGACGGGUGAGUAACACGUGGAUAACCUACUUAUAAGACUGGGAUAAUUUCGGGAAACCGGAGCUAAUACCGGAUAAUAUAUUGAACCGCAUGGUUCAAUAGUGAAAGACGGCUUUGCUGUCACUUAUAGAUGGAUCCGCGCCGGAUUAGCUAGUUGGUAAGGUAACGGCUUACCAAGGCAACGAUGCGUAGCCGACCUGAGAGGGUGAUCGGCCACACUGGAACUGAGACACGGUCCAGACUCCUACGGGAGGCAGCAGUAGGGAAUCUUCCGCAAUGGGCGAAAGCCUGACGGAGCAACGCCGCGUGGGUGAUGAAGGUCUUCGGAUCGUAAAACUCUGUUAUUAGGGAAGAACAAAUGUGUAAGUAACUAUGCACGUCUUGACGGUACCUAAUCAGAAAGCCACGGCUAACUACGUG